rnacentral:rRNA from 1 species
AGAGAAUAGAUACCCAGGUAGUCCACGCCGUAAACGAUGGGNACUAGGUGCUGGGGGGAGCGACCCCUUCAGUGCCGCAGCUAACGCGAUAAGUGCCCCGCCUGGGGAGUACGGCCGCAAGGCUGAAACUNAAAGGAAUUGACGGGGGCCCGCACAAGCGGUGGAGCAUGGGUUUAAUUCGAAGCAACGCGAAGAACCUUACCUAGGUUUGACAUGCUGGUGAAAGCCUCUGGAAACAGGGGCCCUUCUUCGGAACACCAGCACAGGUGCUGCAUGGCUGUCGUCAGCUCGUGUCGUGAGAUGUUGGGUUAAGUCCCGCAACGAGCGCAACCCUUGCCCCGUGUUACUAACAGGUAAAGCUGAGGACUCUCGGGGGACUGCCGGCGUCAAGCCGGAGGAAGGUGGGGACGACGUCAAGUCAUCAUGGCCCUUACGCCUAGGGCGACACACGUGCUACAAUGGCGAGGACAGAGGGCAGCAAGACGGCAACGUGGAGCGAAUCCCAGAAACCUCGUCUAAGUUCGGAUUGUGGGCUGCAAC